GGCCCCUGGGGACAUGUACC
rnacentral:misc_RNA from 1 species